UUACAUAGAGUCAAUCCCUAGCCUAGACC
rnacentral:piRNA from 1 species